GACGAACGCUGGCGGCGUGCUUAACACAUGCAAGUCGAACGGAAAGGCCCUGCUUGCAGGGUACUCGAGUGGCGAACGGGUGAGUAACACGUGGGUGAUCUGCCCUGCACUUCGGGAUAAGCCUGGGAAACUGGGUCUAAUACCGGAUAGGAGCCAUUUUUAGUGUGAUGGUUGGAAAGUUUUUUCGGUGUAGGAUGAGCUCGCGGCCUAUCAGCUUGUUGGUGGGGUAAUGGCCUACCAAGGCGGCGACGGGUAGCCGGCCUGAGAGGGUGGACGGCCACAUUGGGUCUGAGAGACGGCCGAGACUCCGACGGGUGGCAGCAGGGGGGAAGAUUGCACAAGGGGCGCAAGCCUGAUGCAGAGACGCCGCGGGGGGGAUGACGGCCUUCGGGUUGUAAACUCCUUUCGCUAGGGACGAAGCUUUUUGUGACGGUACCUAGAGAAGAAGCACCGGCUAACUACGUG
rnacentral:rRNA from 1 species